rnacentral:misc_RNA from 1 species
GAUGAAGAACGUAGCGAAAUGCGAUAAGUAGUGUGAAUUGCAGAAUUCAGUGAAUCAUCGAAUCUUUGAACGCACAUUGCGCCCUUUGGUAUUCCUUAGGGCAUGCCUGUUCGAGCGUCAUUUAAACCUUCAAGCUCAGCUUGGUGUUGGGUGUCUGUCCCGCCCCCCUCGGGGGCGCGGACUCGCCUCAAAUGCAUUGGCGACCGGUACCUUGGCUUCGAGCGCAGCAGAAACGCGAACUCGUUGCCCGGGGGUCGGCUCCCAGAAGCCAUCUUCUUAGUUUGACCUCGGAUCAGGUAGGGAUACCCGCUGAACUUAAGCAUAUCAAUAAGCGGAGGA